rnacentral:lncRNA from 1 species
CUUCUUCCCGAACCUCCAGUCUGUUUUUUCUGCCCCUCACUUGGUGGUUGUGACUUGUACCCUUUUAGCUCAACACUCUCCAUAUUACAGUUGUCUACAACUUCUCUGAACUUCUUAUUAGAACAGUGUCAUGAGAGGAGAGACUAUGUUUGUCUUGCAGGAGAACUGCACCUUAUAACAUCCUACUCUGCCCUCCGACCCCCGCCUUGGAUCACGAUCCUGGAAGGGUUGUUAAUCACCUUGCCUCCCUUCUCCCGUCCCAGGCAUGUGCUUAUGAUCCCAGUUGGACCAGAGCAUUCCUCCAGACAUUGCUGAUAAAGCAAAUUGAGAGACUUAUUUUAUCUACUCUUGGAUGUCUUCCCUGGCCUUAAGGAGAAGGCUGUUUGUACAAAGAGCAACUGAGAGAAAUACAGAGGGAAUUAGAAAAUGAUAGAUGAUUGAUAGACAGGUAGAUAGCUAGAGAGAUGGAUGGAUAGAUAUCAAUAGAUAGGAAAGAUUUGAACCUCUGUAUCUAGCCAUGCCUAAAAGUUACAACUACCUCUGGACUCCCUAGUAUUGUAGACCAAUAAAUUCUCAUUUUUUUGCUUAAACUAAGUUGAUUUGGAUCUCUGUCACUUAAAACCAUAACAGCCUUGAUAAUGCAUGAAGAAAAUUAUUUAAAUAUCUAUAUAUACAUUUAUUUCCUAUCAUCUGGCCCAUUAUUUUAAAACAUAAAAUUUCUGCUCUCAAGCUUGCAUGAUUUGUCACUAGCCUCUGCCCUGGUGCCUCAGAUGGUAAAGAGUCUGCCUGCAGUGCGGGACACCUGGGUUCGAUACCUGGGUCAGGAAGAUCCCCUGAAGAAGGAAAUGGCAACCCACUCCAAUUCUUGCCUGGGAAAUCCCAUGGAUGGAAGAGCCUGGUAGACUACAGUUCAUGGGUUCACAAAAGAAUCGGACACAACUGAGCUACUUCACUCUCUGUCUCCAUCUGCCUAUCUAAGCAUCCAACUUUGCAGGAAUACUGCACUUUAAGGAAUGAUGAAUGUUUUAGAAGACUGAAAAUUUGUAUUGAACUAAAAAGUUUGCAUGUUCUCACAUAUCAAAGUAUUAUUCUAUGAUAUUCUUUUAAAUGCUUCAGUGCAAUGAAAAUAUGGUUUCAAUUAUCAAACUAUAAAUUACUCAUAGCUUUUUAAGAACAUAUAUUCUGUAAAAGACUGUUACAUAACUCUGUUUGGCAGUUGCACUUUCUCCUUUUGUGCAAACUCAUCUGGUUGUAUUUUCACCAUCUUCUCAUAACAUGUGUAUCAUUUUUGACACAAUUGUUGUGCAGGAAUGUAUCAAGCUAAGGAAGAAUGCUUGGCAUCACUCUGUAAGCUCAGGAUACAAAUGCUGUUACAUCUCUUAUUCUUACACUUUGUAGUUUGAAAACUCACAUUACCGUAUUUAACAGGAAGCAUAGUUUCCCCUCUUAAUGUUUUUCCUCCCAGA